rnacentral:rRNA from 1 species
UACGGAGGGGGCUAGCGUUGUUCGGAAUUACUGGGCGUAAAGCGCACGUAGGCGGCUUUGUAAGUUAGAGGUGAAAGCCUGGAGCUCAACUCCAGAACUGCCAUUGAAACUGUUAGACUUGAGUACGAGAGAGGUGAGUGGAAUUCCCAGUGUAGAGGUGAAAUUCGUAGAUAUUGGGAAGAACACCAGUGGCGAAGGCGGCUCACUGGCUCGUAACUGACGCUCAGGCGCGAACAG